rnacentral:lncRNA from 1 species
UUUUUUAACUUUCCAUUCCUGGCAGUGACGCCAGGAGCUUUAAGUGAUGGAAAUAUGCGAGUCAAUCAGUGGAUGGUGAACAAAGGAACAGUAAAUGGAGUAACUUGGCUAGAAUAUGGCAGUAACUACAAGGCAUGUUCUGCUCUGGCACGAAGCUCUCUUGGAACUUUGAGCCACCACGUGAGGAGUCUGAUUACCCAUUCGCAAGUGAUGCCUAAACAGCCCCUGUUCCUUCCAGACAACCCACCUGAGGCACCAGACACAUGAGUGAAGCCAUCUUGGACAUCCCAGUCACAGCCAAACUCACUCCUGAGUGCAUCUGCAUGAUGAACCCAGCAAUCCCCACCAUGGAGCAAAGGAUCCAUCCAGUCAACCCAAAGAAUCGUGAAAAAUAAUAAAUUGUUGUUUUAAAGUUCUUCAGUUUGGGAAUAGCUUGUUAUGCAACAAUACAUAAUUAAUACACUGGUCUCCCACUUUCAAGUUUGAUUAACUUUCAGCUAUUUUUCACAUAGCAGGCAGAGUGAUUCCAUUAAAACAUAUAUCAGAUAAUGUCACUGCACUAAGUAAACUCUACAAGGACUCUCAUCUCCCUCAGAGUAAAGGUCACAGUUGUUACAAGGCCCUACGUAAUGUGGCCCUCACCACCACUCCAUUACCUUUUUCUUAUCUACUAUUUGCUAACUUUGCUUUGUCCUCUUUUCUGUUCUGAAACAGGCUAGGCAUGGUCCUGCCUCAAGGCCUUUGCACCACCUACUCUGUCUGCUUGGAUUGUUCUUCCCACAGAUUUCUUGCUCCCUUCUUCCUUCAUGAAGAAAUGUCAUGAAAUGUCCUUCCUUCAUGAAAUGUCACCUUCUCAUUUGAGGCCUUCUGUAGUACCCCAAAGAAUGGUCCCCAAAGAUGUCCACAUCCUUAUGCCCAGAACCUGUGAAUGUGUUAUCUUAAUGGCAAAAGUGACUUUGCAAAUGUGAUUAUAUUUAAGGAUCUUAAGGAGGAGAUUAUCCUGGAUUAUCCAGGAGGGCCCAAUGUAAUCACAAGGGCCCUUAUAAGUGAAAGGGGGAGGCAACAGAGAGAAGGAGAUGUCAUAAUGAAAACAGAUCCAAGUGAUGAGAUUGCUGGCUGGGGUGGAGGUGGAGGGGGGUACAAUCCAAGGAAUGCAAGAAGCCUCUAAAAGCUAGGAAAUGUCAGGACACAAAUUCUCCCCUAGAACCUGAGGAAGAAACCCAGGUUUAUGGACACUGAUUUUAACCCAAUAAGUCCCUUUUCUGACUGCUGACCUCCAAAACUGUAAGAUAAUAAAUUUGUGUUAUUUUAAGCCAACUGAGUUUGAGAUAAUUUAGUUAUGGCAGCAAUAGGAAACUAGCACACCUUCCUAGCCAUCCUAUCUAAAAUGGCAACCCAUGUCCUUCCUGGCACUUCCUAUCUCCCUUCCAUGUUUUUUUUAAAUCAUAUAUACAAUAUAUUUUACUGUUUUACCUAUUGUCUUUUCCACCAGAAAGUAAACUCCACGUAAAUAAGGAUUGUCUGUUUUAUUCUUUGCAGUAUCUCCACUGCCUAGGAUAGCAUCUGCACAUACUGCACACUCAGUACACAUUUGUCGAAUGAGGUCAGGCGCGGUGGUUCACACCUGUAAUCCCAGCACUUUGGGAGGCCAAGGCGGGUGGAUCACCUUAGGUUAGGAGUUCGAGACCAGCCUGGCCAACAUGGUGAAACCAUGUCUCUACUAAAAAUACAAAAAGUAGUUGGGCAUGGUGGCAUGUGCCUGUAAUCCCAGCUACUUGGGAGGCUGUGGCAGGAGAGUCACUUGAAUCUGGGAGGUGGAGGUUGCAGUGAGCCAAGAUUGUGCCACUCCACUCCAGCCUGGGCAACAGAGUAAGACUCUGGCUCAAAAAAAAAAAAAAAGAAAGAAAGAAAAAAAUACAUAUUUGUUGAAUGAACAAGUGAAUGAACAAAUGUUAUGCAAAUAUAUUAUCCCUAUCUGUAGCUUGCCUUUUAAUUUUGUUAUAGUAACUUUGGUUGAAAGGAAGUUCUAAAAUCUUUAAUAUAAUCAAAUGUAUCAAUCUUUUCAACUUGUAUAUUUUAUGCCUUGUUUAAUCAACUCUGUCUUAUAUCAAAA